rnacentral:rRNA from 1 species
GAUACCCUGGUAGUCCACGCAGUAAACGAUGAAUACUAGCUGUCCGGGGCGAAUGGGCCCUGGGUGGCACAGCGAAAGCGUUAAGUAUUCCACCUGGGGAGUACGCCGGCAACGGUGAAACUCAAAGGAAUUGACGGGGGCCCGCACAAGCGGAGGAACAUGUGGUUUAAUUCGAUGAUACGCGAGGAACCUUACCCGGGCUCAAACGACACAGGAACGGUCCUGAAAGGGGUCGGCUCUACGGAGCCUGUGUCGAGGUGCUGCAUGGUUGUCGUCAGCUCGUGCCGUGAGGUGUCGGCUUAAGUGCCAUAACGAGCGCAACCCCCAUCGACAGUUGCUAACAGGUUAGGCUGAGGACUCUGUCGAGACUGCCGGCGCAAGCUGCGAGGAAGGCGGGGAUGACGUCAAAUCAGCACGCCCCUUACGUCCGGGGCGACACACGUGUUACAAUGGCAGGUACAGCGGGAAGCCACCUGGCGACAGGGAGCGGAACCCGAAAGCCUGUCUCAGUUCGGAUUGGAGUCUGCAACCCGACUCCAUGAAGCUGGAUUCGCUAGUAAUCGCGCAUC